UUUUUUUUUUUUUUUUUAAGGAUUUCCAUUUCUCUUCCCUUCAGUAAUUCUAAUUUCCCACUUCAUGUCAUUCAAAAGGAAGCUCCAGAGGAAAACUUUAUCAUAGACCCCAACUUAAUCUUAUUACUCCCUGGAAACACAUUCCACCCUGAAAGGUGGCCUCAGAAUUUAGGUCAGAGUUUGCUGUUGCUGUUGUUUUUAGGUUAAAAACUACCUCGGUGGCUCUUUGAGGUACCUCUCAUUUACUUCAAAAGACUCGGUCAUUGAGGGGAAUAAAUGAGCAAAUCUAAUGUGUGUUUAAAAUAUUCUCUUAAUUGUUUCUGUAUGUCUUUCUGGAAAGAGGACAUUUUUUGAGGAUGAACAGUCAUGAGCAUUACUGACAGAUAGAGCUCAUCUGGAAAAGGGAAUAAAAAUCAGUUUUAGUUCAAACUGGGGUGGAUGGUCCAGCCUGAUUUUUUUUUUUUUCAGAUGAGGAAACAAGCCCAUUAAGGGCCUGGAGGAGGUAUCUAAUGCUGGCUGAGUGAGGCUCACACUCUAUGCUUCCUCAUGUCCGGUCUGAUCUCAAUCAGAUCACAAUCUCACUGUUCAGCAAAAAGUUCUCUUGGUUCCUCAUGAGUUGGAAGGAAAAUGUUGGCUUAGGAAAAUUCCAACACUGUGGAGCAUUCUCUGUUAAAGAAGGUGCCAGAUAAUAAAUCUACUUUACAAGCUUCCAAUGGCAGGAAAUGGAGAGCAGGGAACAUGAAAGUGGGGCCAGGGAGGGGAGAACACUUGGGGUAAAAAAACAUGCCUUUUUGAGAGUUCCCACUGUGGCCCAGUGGGUUAAAGAUCUGAUGUUGCUGCAGCUGAGGUAUAGGUCACAGCUGCAGCUUGGGUUCCACCCAUGGCCCAAGAGUUUCCAUGUGCCGAGGGUGCAGCAAAAAACAACACAAAACCUAAAACAAAAACACAUGACUUUUAUAGUUAGUUUGGACCCAAACUCAAAUGAUGUUCCUCCCUCCCCUCAACGGACAAAUGUAUAAAAAAAGAUGAUGUAGGGAGCUCCUGUCAUGGCUCAGGGGGUUAUGAACCUGACUAGUAUCCAUGAGGAUGUGGGUUCAAUCCCUGGCCUUGCUCAGUGGGUUAAGGAUCCAGUGCUGCUGUGGCUGUGGUAGAGGCCUCAGCUGCAACUCCAAUUCAACUGUUAGCCUGGGAAUUUCCAUAUGCUGCAGGUGCUGCCCCAAAAUGCAGAAAAAAAGCAAAAAAAAAAAAAAAAAAAGGAUGAUGUAUGCUUUGAGUCUUAGAAACUAUAGAAAAUGGACCAAAUAAGUACAUCAUGAAGUCGGAAGGGGAUGGUGGAAGGUAGAUAAACUAGGAACCAUGAGGUUUUGGGUUCCAUCCCUGGCCUUGCUCAGAGGGAUAAAGAUCUGGCAUUGCCAUGAGCUCUGGUGUAGGUCACAGACACGGCUCUGAUCUGGCGUUGCUGUGGCCGUGGCAUAGGACAGCAGCUAUAGCUCCGAUUAGACCCCUAGCCUGGGAACCUCCAUAUGCCGCAGAUGUGGCCCUAAAAAGCAAAAAAAAAAAAAAAAAAGAAUUUUCAUAUGGGACCUGAAGAGUAUAAGUCUAAAGCUUCCAAUCCAAUGGAAGGGUUGAGAGGGCUAAAAACAGGUAAUGUACAAAUGGGCAGAAAAAGUAAGAUACCUGCUCCAGGUAAGACAAGGCAGAGACAGAGGCCCCAGGCACCAGCUGUAGAAAAUGUAGUAUCAGGAACCCUCUGGGGAGGUACCAGCCCGGGGGGAGGUGAACAGCUUCCUGCAUGGAUAGAGCAUUCCUGGGUCACCUAGGGAUCUGUCUAGGCUGUCCUAGGGGGUGACUCCGUGGAAAAGGGACUAAAGGACGAUUCAGCCACACCUAUCAAAGGUUCGCAUAUCUAACUGUUGGUGAAAUUGUAAAUUGGUGCAGCCCCUGUGGAAAACAGUAUGGAGAUUCCUCAUAAAACUAAAAAUAGAAUUACCAUCCCAUCCAGCAAUCCCACUCCUGGGCAUCUAUCCAGAGAAAACCAUGACUCGAAAAGACACAUGUACUCCAGUGUUCAUUGCAGCACUCUUCAAUAGCCAAGACAUGGAAACAACCUAAAUGUCCAUCGACAGAGCAGUGGAUCAAGAAGAUGUGGUGUAUAUACACGAUGGAAUAUUACUCAGCCAUUAAAAGGAAUGAAAUACCGGCAUUUUUAGCAACAUGGAUGGACGUAGAAAUUAUCAUGCUAAGUGAAGUCAGCCAUACAAUGAGACACCAACAUCAAAUGCUUUCACUGACAUGUGGAAUCUGAAAAAAGGACACAAUGAGCUUCUUUGCAGAACAGAUACUGACUCACAGACAUUGAAAAACUUAUGGUUUCCGGAGGAGACAGUUUGGGGGGUGGGGGGGUGUGCUGGGGUUGUGGAAUGGAAAUCCUAUAAAAUUGGAUUGUGAUGAUCAUUGUACAGCUACAAAUGUAAUAAAUUCAUUGAGUAAUUAAAAAAAAGAUUAACAUAUCUAGCCUUGGUCUAGCAGUUCAACUGCAAGGGAUUUAUUCUACAAUUACACUCAUAAAUACACACCAAGUGCCUGUGAAAGGCUGUAUUACCACAUUACUUGUGACUAUGUAACAGGAGAACAACCUAAAAGUCCAUCAAUAGGAUCUGGUCCCAUAAGGAAUAUUUGUAUGAAAGGAAUAAUAUCC
rnacentral:lncRNA from 1 species